CGAACGUUAUUCGGAAUCACUGGGCUUAAAGGGUGCGUAGGCUGCGCGGAAAGUUGGGUGUGAAAUCCCUCGGCUCAACCGAGGAACUGCGCCCAAAACUGCCGUGCUCGAGGGAGACAGAGGUGAGCGGAACUUAGGGUGGAGCGGUGAAAUGCGUUGAUAUCCUAAGGAACACCGGUGGCGAAAGCGGCUCACUGGGCCACAACUGACGCUGAGGCGCGAAAGCUAGGGGAGCAAACAGG
rnacentral:rRNA from 1 species